rnacentral:rRNA from 2 species
CCUGGGGAGUACGGCCGCAAGGUUAAAACUCAAAUGAAUUGACGGGGGCCCGCACAAGCGGUGGAGCAUGUGGUUUAAUUCGAUGCAACGCGAAGAACCUUACCUACUCUUGACAUCCAGAGAACUUAGCAGAGAUGCUUUGGUGCCUUCGGGAACUCUGAGACAGGUGCUGCAUGGCUGUCGUCAGCUCGUGUUGUGAAAUGUUGGGUUAAGUCCCGCAACGAGCGCAACCCUUAUCCUUUGUUGCCAGCGGUCCGGCCGGGAACUCAAAGGAGACUGCCAGUGAUAAACUGGAGGAAGGUGGGGAUGACGUCAAGUCAUCAUGGCCCUUACGAGUAGGGCUACACACGUGCUACAAUGGCGCAUACAAAGAGAAGCGACCUCGCGAGAGCAAGCGGACCUCAUAAAGUGCGUCGUAGUCCGGAUUGGAGUCUGCAACUCGACUCCAUGAAGUCGGAAUCGCUAGUAAUCGUGGAUCAGAAUGCCACGGUGAAUACGUUCCCGGGCCUUGUACACACCGCCCGUCACACCAUGGGAGUGGGUUGCAAAAGAAGUAGGUAGCUUAACCUUCGGGAGGGCGCUUACCACUUUGUGAUUCAUGACUGGGGUGAAGUCGUAACAAGGUAACCGUAGGGGAACCUGCGGUUGGAUCACCUCCUUA